AUCUCGUUUCUCAAAUGUAAUUGUUUAACGGACGAACAAUGUCCAGAUUGGUGCCAGGGAAGAGAGAGGCCUAUGCAUUCCUGUUGGAAUAGGAGAAGGUUCACACAUAAGAAAAGCUAUAAUUGACAAGAAUGCAAGGAUUGGCCAAAAUGUUCUGAUCAUAAACAGGGAUAAUGUGCAGGAAGCAAACAAUGAAGAAAGUGGAUAUAUCAUCACAGGAGGGAUAGUUAUAAUAUUAAGGAGUGCAGUGAUUCAAGAUGGGAGUAUCAUCUGAAAAAUUCUUAGUACAUUGUUUGGUUAAUAGGAAUACACAAGCAAUCCAAUGUACGAUUCUUUUUUAAAAUAAGGAAAUAAAAUUGUUGAAUCAAUAAAUACA